rnacentral:rRNA from 1 species
UACGUAGGUGGCGAGCGUUAUCCGGAUUUACUGGGUGUAAAGGGUGUGUAGGCGGGAUGACAAGUCAGAUGUGAAAGGCCGUGGCUUAACUACGGCACUGCAUCAGAAACUGUUAUUCUUGAGUGUGGGAGAGGUAAGCGGAAUUCCUGGUGUAGCGGUGAAAUGCGUAGAUAUCAGGAGGAACACCGGUGGCGAAGGCGGCUUACUGGACCACAACUGACGCUGAUACACGAAAGCGUGGGGAGCAAACAGGAUUAGAUACCCGGGGUAGU